rnacentral:rRNA from 1 species
GACGAACGCUGGCGGCGUGCUUAACACAUGCAAGUCGAACGGAAAGGCCCUGCUUUUGUGGGGUGCUCGAGUGGCGAACGGGUGAGUAACACGUGAGUAACCUGCCCUUGACUUUGGGAUAACUUCAGGAAACUGGGGCUAAUACCGGAUAGGAGCUCCUGCUGCAUGGUGGGGGUUGGAAAGUUUCGGCGGUUGGGGAUGGACUCGCGGCUUAUCAGCUUGUUGGUGGGGUAGUGGCUUACCAAGGCUUUGACGGGUAGCCGGCCUGAGAGGGUGACCGGCCACAUUGGGACUGAGAUACGGCCCAGACUCCUACGGGAGGCAGCAGUGGGGAAUAUUGCACAAUGGGCGGAAGCCUGAUGCAGCAACGCCGCGUGCGGGAUGACGGCCUUCGGGUUGUAAACCGCUUUCGCCUGUGACGAAGCGUGAGUGACGGUAAUGGGUAAAGAAGCACCGGCUAACUACGUGCCAGCAGCCGCGGUGAUACGUAGGGUGCGAGCGUUGUCCGGAUUUAUUGGGCGUAAAGGGCUCGUAGGUGGUUGAUCGCGUCGGAAGUGUAAUCUUGGGGCUUAACCCUGAGCGUGCUUUCGAUACGGGUUGACUUGAGGAAGGUAGGGGAGAAUGGAAUUCCUGGUGGAGCGGUGGAAUGCGCAAAUAUCAGGAGGAACACCAGUGGCGAAGGCGGUUCUCUGGGCCUUUCCUGACGCUGAGGAGCGAAAGCGUGGGGAGCGAACAGGCUUAGAUACCCUGGUAGUCCACGCUGUAAACGGUGGGUACUAGGUGUGGGGUCCAUUCCACGGGUUCCGUGCCGUAGCUAACGCUUUAAGUACCCCGCCUGGGGAGUACGGCCGCAAGGCUAAAACUCAAAGGAAUUGACGGGGCCCCGCACAAGCGGCGGAGCAUGCGGAUUAAUUCGAUGCAACGCGUAGAACCUUACCUGGGUUUGACAUGGAUCGGGAGCGCUCAGAGAUGGGUGUGCCUCUUUUGGGGUCGGUUCACAGGUGGUGCAUGGCUGUCGUCAGCUCGUGUCGUGAGAUGUUGGGUUAAGUCCCGCAACGAGCGCAACCCUUGUUCACUGUUGCCAGCACGUUAUGGUGGGGACUCAGUGGAGACCGCCGGGGUCAACUCGGAGGAAGGUGGGGAUGACGUCAAGUCAUCAUGCCCCUUAUGUCCAGGGCUUCACGCAUGCUACAAUGGCUGGUACAGAGAGUGGCGAGCCUGUGAGGGUGAGCGAAUCUCGGAAAGCCGGUCUCAGUUCGGAUUGGGGUCUGCAACUCGACCUCAUGAAGUCGGAGUCGCUAGUAAUCGCAGAUCAGCAACGCUGCGGUGAAUACGUUCCCGGG